UUAAGCAUAUCAAUAAGCGGAGGAAAAGAAACCAACAGGGAUUGCCCCAGUAACGGCGAGUGAAGCGGCAACAGCUCAAAUUUGAAAUCUGGCCCCUCCGGGUCCGAGUUGUAAUUUGUAGAGGAUGCUUUUGGUGAGGUGCCGCCCGAGUUCCCUGGAACGGGACGCCACAGAGGGUGAGAGCCCCGUCUGGCUGGCCACCGAGCCUCUGUAAAGCUCCUUCGACGAGUCGAGUAGUUUGGGAAUGCUGCUCAAAAUGGGAGGUAUAUGUCUUCUAAAGCUAAAUAUUGGCCAGAGACCGAUAGCGCACAAGUAGAGUGAUCGAAAGAUGAAAAGCACCUUGAAAAGAGGGUUAAACAGUACGUGAAAUUGUUGAAAGGGAAGCGCUUGUGACCAGACUUGGGCGCGGCGGAUCAUCCGGGGUUCUCUCCGGUGCACUUCGCCGCGUUCAGGCCAGCAUCAGUUCGUCGCGGGGGAAAAAGGCUUCGGGAACGUGGCUCCUCCGGGAGUGUUAUAGCCCGUUGCAUAAUACCCUGCGGUGGACUGAGGACCGCGCAUCUGCAAGGAUGCUGGCGUAAUGGUCACCAGCGACCCGUCUU
rnacentral:rRNA from 1 species